CGAGCCGGGUAUCUUGACUGCAUCGUGAUGGGGAUAGAUUAUUGCAAUUAUUAGUCUUCAACGAGGAAUGCCUAGUAAGCGCGAGUCAUCAGCUCGCGUUGAUUACGUCCCUGCCCUUUGUACACACCGCCCGUCGCUCCUACCGAUUGGGUGUGCUGGUGAAGUGUGCGGAUUGGGGCCGGGGGAUGGCGACAUUCCACGGUCUUGAAAAGCACAUUAAACCCUCCCACCUAGAGGAAGGAGAAGUCGUAACAAGGUUUCCGUAGGUGAACCUGCGGAAGGAUCAUUGAAUCAUUUCAACACGUGCGGCGCUUCAAACCCGCCGCACGUCAACCACCGUGAACCUUCUUGUACCGGUCCCCACAUGCCUGCAAAGCCUUCACUGGUGCACACGGGCAUAUGGGCGUGGCGUGGCGCCUUGCAUAUCUUUUGUUUGGCAAAGCGCUGCGGAUUCGGCCGCCCAAAUGUUUUGGGCUGCUGGGUUGGCCCCCCCCCCUUACACAACACAAACACCAAACCUAAACCUCAUGAAGCUAAACGCUGCCAGCUCCUCUGAGCUGCAGCAAAACACAGACAACUCUCAACAACGGAUAUCUUGGCUCUCGCAACGAUGAAGAACGCAGCGAAAUGCGAUACGUAGUGUGAAUUGCAGAAUUACGUGAAUCAUCAAAUCUUUGAACGCACAUUGCGCUCGAGGCCUCGGCCAAGAGCAUGUCUGCUCMGCGUCGGGUUAAAACUCACACGCCCACACCCAUGUGUGUGGAUCAGUGYGGAUCUGGCCGUCCCACGUCUUUGCGGCGUGGGUCGGCUGAAGCGCAGAGGCCGGCACGGGAACCCGCUAACGGGGUUGCAACUGGGUAGAUGCAGUUGGAACGCUGUGCGCAAGCUCAGCCUCUCCUUCUCACAUGCACAGCUGUUGACCUUGGGACGCCGUGUGAUCUUCGGCCCUUCAUACAGGAAAACCUUUUAACCCUUUAAUCCUCGACCUGAGCUCAGGCAAGACCACCCGCUGAACUUAAGCAUAUCAAUAAGCGGAGGAAAAGAAACAAACAUGGAUGCGCUUAGUAACGGCGAGCGAACCGCGCACAGCCCAACUUGAAAAUCUCCCUUUGGAGAAUUGUAGUCUAUAGAAGCGCCCUCUGCGGUGGCGCGGGCCCAAGUCCGCUGGAAGGCGGCGUCAGAGAGGGUGAGAACCCCGUCGGCCCUGCGUUGACCGCUCCACGAGGUGCUUUCCACGAGUCGGGUUGCUUGGGAAUGCAGCCCAAAACGGGAGGUAAUCCUUAAGC
rnacentral:rRNA from 1 species